AGAUUAAUCAAAACUCCAACCAUCUGUAUGAGGGUCUGGAUGGAUAAAGGAUGCCCACUGGAGCUGGAAAUGAUGGAUCAGGUGGAUCCACACUUGAACCAUCUGUAUGAUGAUCUGCACCCACUGGAUCUGUAAAUGGUGGUGCAGAAUUCUGGCCUGGUGUUUGGUCCCCCUUUCUCUGGCUUGUGUCUCCAUC